UACGCAGAGGGACAGACGGACAGACAAAAAGUGACGUUUAUAGGUUAGAAUAGAUACAAGACGUAAGUCGCACACAUUAGUACUAUAAGCAUUUGUGUAAUUACACUUGGCACUGCUCACAUGGGUUGCCCCUAGCAACGCGCACACGAUCGGCGCAAAUUUUAAUUUGCCUUAAACAUGCAGCAAAAACACACGGAACACGAACUUCCAAUCGUGGAGCGACGCACGAAUGAAGAGGCGCGAAUGAAGAGACCCGACUUCCCAUCGGGACAUGAUGGCUGGCAGGCGGUUGAUGCUAUCCCGCAGGAAGCGAGCGCAGUUUCCGAGGAGGAGCGCCGCGUGGUGGUGUAAGCACUCAGCCUGCUGAAGCGCGGGAGUGCAGAGAGGCGACCCCACGAGGUGGAGACAGGAGGGACAGGGUCCUCCUGGGGGAACAAAGCGAGCGGCGUCCUGGCGGGGUCGAGAGGGCAGGAGACGCAGCGGAUAUUGGCAGGGCUCUGGAUAGCGGCGCGUUCUGGUGCGCGAGCCUGCGAGCGCGUACCUGCACCUGGCCGUGGACCACUUCGCACUCGUGCUGGUGGCGUGUGCGCCGGUGCUCGACAUGGCGCCGAGAUCGCGCGCGUGCACGUGACCCGUGUGCGCUCCCCACGCUUGCACGUGAUGGAGGGGACCCACGUGGGUCGCGAUCUCAUCUCCGAGCUCUGCUUCACGAACCCCGUGGCACGCGCCCUGCACCGCGUGCGCGUCCGCGUAGAGGGAGCCGGCGUGCCCGCGCCGGGCAACAUACUUGUCGGCAACGUGGAGGGGCACGGCUACACGCGCGUGCCCGUGGUUCCCAAGCGCCGCGGGGAGCUCACGCUGAUCGCGAGCCUCGACUGCACGGAGCUGCCGCAGGUGCACGGGGGAGCCACCUUCCAGUGCGAGCCCUGAGACUUCAACAUCACCACCAUCAUCAACAUCAUGAGUCAACCACCAUCAUCAGCAUCGAGAGUGGUACCACCAUGAUCGUGAUCGAGUGAACUAUCAUGAACGUGUUCAUCAUCAUCAUUAUCAUCAUGACACACAAAGUGCUUGCCACAAAUAUAUCACAAAUUCCUUGCUGAUCUCGUCAAGGAGCGUAAACCAUCACGAGAACUCCGCUCAUCCUCGCAGUGGCUUUUGGAUAGCCAUCAAACAAAGACGGUCACUGCAUCGCGCACUUUCAGAUCCGCUUGUGUGGCCGUCUGGAGCACUCUUUCUUCCGAUAUCAGGAAGCCGCUGAAGCUCUUCACUGUUAAAUGUAGAUUGAACACUCAUUUAUUUAGAAAUGCGUUUUGUGUUUAGUUUGUUGUCCUUCCCCGCACCUCCGACUCGCGCGGUUGGCUGCGCACGGUGCGAAAGAAGUUCAACGUACAUUUCAACCACCAGGAUCGUGUUCAUCAUCAUAAGAUGAUCGUUAUCAGAAUCAUCAAAUUGAAUGGGGACCAAAAAUCGUGACGGGGUGUGGGGGGUGGAGAAUAAUCAUUACAGAGCCGAUGUUAUGCACAGACUUCAGGCGCGAUAGACAAGAACGCUACCGCCGUGACGCCACUGGAAUGCGGUUACUCAUGAAGAAGGGGAAUGACAUCGUUGAUGUCGCCAGUGGCGUUUAUUUAACCACGCGCAUCGCCAUCGCUUCCUUCUUCCAGUUCCUGCAGUUGUUGGAGACGACACCGCACCUUCGAGGUCUUUCGAUGGUAACAGUCUGGCUCAAGGUCUUCCAAUUGAUCCUAUUAUAUAUAGAUUUAUAUUUUGGCUUAUUACAAAGUGCUUUACAACAAUUAUAAUAUAAGAUGAUGGGUUAAUAAAGGGGCUGUUGUAGUUAUGGUAGGACAGGUGUGAGUGGUUAAGG